rnacentral:rRNA from 1 species
CAGCCGCCACGGUAAUACGUAGGUGGCAAGCGUUGUCCGGAAUUAUUGGGCGUAAAGGGCUCGCAGGCGGUUUCUUAAGUCUGAUGUGAAAGCCCCCGGCUCAACCGGGGAGGGUCAUUGGAAACUGGGAAACUUGAGUGCAGAAGAGGAGAGUGGAAUUCCGCGUGUAGCGGUGAAAUGCGUAGAGAUGUGGAGGAACACCAGUGGCGAAGGCGACUCUCUGGUCCUUGACUGACGCUGAGGCGCGAAAGCUAGGGGAGCAAAUGGGAUUAGAGACCCCUGUAGUCCCUGUCUCUUAUAC